rnacentral:lncRNA from 1 species
GAGCUGCCUGGUGUGUACUCCUAAUGGGGUCUCGGGACCCAUCAGAGCCUUAAUCCACUCUUUACCUCCACUAACACACAGAUGAGGAAAAAGGUGUGCUCCUUAGUUUCGACAUAGGAUGUUUUCCAGUAGCUUCCCUGACAAGGGAAGCAUGACAGAGGCACCUGGUGCUUCACAUCCCUGAGGUUCUCCCCUCUGCGCUAGACUCCUGCCCGGCUCCAGCACCUCCAAUAAGUAAAUUUACUUAAAAAUUAUACUCCUGACAACAAAAAGAGCUCCACAUACUGAAGAUUCUAAUAUUAUGUCAAAGAAGCAGUAAGGAGAAGAGGAAAAUUAAGAGCAGAAAAAAGAGGCGAACCUCUGAAAGAUACAACAAACAGAAGAAGAAGAAAAGUAUAUUGAUAUUAACCAUAUACAACAUUAGCCCC